rnacentral:rRNA from 1 species
CACUAUACGGUGAAACUGCGAAUGGCUCAUUAAAUCAGUUAUCGUUUAUUUGAUAGUACCUUACUACAUGGAUAACCGUGGUAAUUCUAGAGCUAAUACAUGCUAAAAACCUCGACUUCGGAAGGGGUGUAUUUAUUAGAUAAAAAACCAAUGCCCUUCGGGGCUCCUUGGUGAAUCAUAAUAACUUAACGAAUCGCAUGGCCUUGCGCCGGCGAUGGUUCAUUCAAAUUUCUGCCCUAUCAACUUUCGAUGGUAGGAUAGUGGCCUACCAUGGUAUCAACGGGUAACGGGGAAUUAGGGUUCGACUCCGGAGAGGGAGCCUGAGAAACGGCUACCACAUCCAAGGAAGGCAGCAGGCGCGCAAAUUACCCAAUCCCGACACGGGGAGGUAGUGACAAUAAAUACUGAUACAGGGCUCUUUUGGGUCUUGUAAUUGGAAUGAGUACAAUUUAAAUCCCUUAACGAGGAACAAUUGGAGGGCAAGUCUGGUGCCAGCAGCCGCGGUAAUUCCAGCUCCAAUAGCGUAUAUUAAAGUUGUUGCAGUUAAAAAGCUCGUAGUUGAACCUUGGGCCUGGCUGGCCGGUCCGCCUCACCGCGUGUACUGGUCCGGCCGGGCCUUUCCUUCUGGGGAACCUCAUGCCCUUCACUGGGCGUGUUGGGGAACCAGGACUUUUACUUUGAAAAAAUUAGAGUGUUCAAAGCAGGCCUUUGCUCGAAUACAUUAGCAUGGAAUAAUAGAAUAGGACGUGUGGUUCUAUUUUGUUGGUUUCUAGGACCGCCGUAAUGAUUAAUAGGGAUAGUCGGGGGCAUCAGUAUUCAAUCGUCAGAGGUGAAAUUCUUGGAUUGAUUGAAGACUAACUACUGCGAAAGCAUUUGCCAAGGAUGUUUUCAUUAAUCAGUGAACGAAAGUUAGGGGAUCGAAGACGAUCAGAUACCGUCGUAGUCUUAACCAUAAACUAUGCCGACUAGGGAUCGGACGGUGUUAGUAUUUUGACCCGUUCGGCACCUUACGAGAAAUCAAAGUUUUU